GGAGUGAAACCCCGAGGGCUAUCAGAAAGAAUGGGAACUGGCAAUUUCAAGAGGUUGAAGUUUCAGGGUACCCUCCAGAAUGUACCAGAGAUCUGGGAGGUAAAAGACUCAGUACUCAAAAGGAAGGACCUUAGAUAAAAUGCCCUACAGUAGUGAGGGGGAGCUUGUAGAGCCCAUGUCCAGCACAAAGACAAGGCAUCAAGUGAGGGAUGGGGUUGCCAUCCCACAGUCAAAACUCUUACCCUUAAUUAUUCCAGUCUAAAAGAACUGCAGGGAUGUUAAUGAAGAAAACCUGAGGUAAAAAGGUCCAGUAAUGGGCUGAAGUUGGAUCCAGCUCAAGGGGAGGCCCGAAGGCCUGACACUAUUACUGAUGCUGUGGUGUGCUUACAAACAGGAGUCUUGCAUGACUGCCCUCUGAAAGUCCCAAAAAGCAGCUGAAAGAAUCAGAUGCAGGUAUUUAUACCAAACCAAUGGAGAGAAGCUUCUAAUUCCUGUCAUUUAAUUAGGAAAAAGCUGGAAGAAUCUGAGGAGGACUACCCUGUAGAAGGUCCAGUUGUCUCAAUUAACCUGAACCCCUGAGAUCUCUCAGACACAGGAACACCAACCAGGCAGCAUAUACCAGUUGACAUGAGGCCCCCAACACGUAUACAGCAGAGGACCAGUGGGUCUGGAUUCACUUAGAAAAGACGCACCUAACUCUCAAGAGACUGGAGGCCUCAGAAGGAGUUUAAUUAGAGGUACCAUGCAUGGAUAGACAAUUCUGCUUCCAGAAGACACAAGUUGCUACAUGAAAAUUGCAGUAGAAGGAGGAUCUAUGUAAGGAACUGGGAGAGAAAAGACAUCAUGGUCUUACCCAGUGCUGGAGCCUGCAUACUGUAAUAUUGACCUGCUUGGCAAGAUAAAAAGACUCUAUUGGUUGACAGAAGAAAGAAUCAAAAGAUGGCCCAUUGGAAAUGCACUGUAUGCGACGUCCUGUUAUUACAUGUUCAGCAUGAAUUUAAGGCAUUUGACUUUCUUCCUUUGUUCAGAAUAACAGCACAAAGGAUUUAUAAUUAUUUUUCCUGAGCACACUUUAUACCUGGUGAGGAUUUGUGUGGAAAUUCUGAGCACUUUCUCUCAAUGAUCUUUGAACAUGCUAACAAAAACAUUAGUGAAAGAAACAAAGCCUAUACAGUCAUAAGAAUUUAUGAGUAAUUUUCUUUAUCCUUGCUCUUCCUCUUUGACAGAACCCCUCUCCCGCCACUGUAAAUAUGCUUCAUUUUUUGACAUUGCUCAAAGCAAUAGCAAACAACUCAACAUAAAAUGGUCCAACACUGUUAUCACAUGCAUUAAUUGGAAUGCUCAUCUUAUCCUCUAAGACCAUCAACUUGGCCUUCCCUGUAUCAUAGUACAAGCUGAGGACAGAAUAAGUGUGGAAUAUAGUUCAUUCUCCUAACACACUGUUACUCAUUGGAAGUGACAUUGUCACCUCAAAGCAGCCCCCCCCCCUGAAGUACCAACAAUGCCAUGGAAUUUGAGGAAUAGGCUUAGGAGCUGACUUAAAUUGCUCUGUAUAGCAGCACUGUAGCAUUUUCCCGUUCCUUUUUCCCCAAGGAAAAAAAUUAUCAAAAGUAUCUUUCUACUUAAUUAUCAGAUACACAUUGUUCUUUUCUUCUCUGUCCUCGAUCCCAAUUUCACCUCCACCUCCUUCCAUCUCUCCUUCCUCCAUACUGAGUUUGCCAAGGCAAUAUUAGUCUCCAGAUAUCUUGAACAUUAAAUCUGCCUAAAUCCAAACGAAUACUUCUCAGACAUGGCCCCAGCUUAAUCAGUUGUAUAGCCUGCACUUGCCCUGCAACCAUGCAUGUAAUACCUCUUGCUUUGGGUCUUUUAGUUUGAAUCUCAUUUUCCUUCCAGAGUUCUUGAUCAAAGAACAUUUUUGUGUGUUUCUUCGUUACAAGAAUACUUUCUCAAUCCAUCCUUACCAUCAGUUUUGAAACAAUAACGUUCACUGUCCUCUGCAAUACCCUUUUUUGUUUUGAACCUUGAGGUCUUUAUCACCAGUUUGUAUUUCUCAAAAUCUGUAUUAAUAAGUCUUUCUUUCUUUGAGCAGUAUACUUCUUUGUAGAAGUAGGGAACCUGGGACCUAGGAGGGAAAACUGGUGACCUGCAGUGCAAAUCACCAUGGCUUUUGGACUCCUGUGAGUAAUGUCUUCUCAGCUAAUCUAUUUUCUUGAUUUCCAAUAGUGGCUACUAUCUUUGGUAUGUACUAAUCUUCAGAUUUAUCUUGCUUUAUCUAUCUCUCAAUCUAUCUAUCUAUCUAUCUAUCUAUCUAUCUAUCUAUCUAUCUAUCAUUAUCUCUGACUUUUCUGUUUCUGUCUUUCCUUAUUUGUUUUUAUUUUACUAAAUAUAAAAGCAGAGAUCAAGACAGGCACAUUUAAUUUUUCAUUCAACCUUUUAUCUUGUGUCCUCCAGAAUUUCCUUUCCUCAUAAACUAAAUCUUGUUUUCCAAAUGUACUGGAAGACAUUUCCAUUCAAAAAUUUCAAUACCAGAGCCACUAAAUAGAAGGAAAUGCUUGCUUGGCUGGAUAAUAAUUGUGGACCAUCUUGGUCUAAACUUUCAAUCCAUUUUGAUAUAGAAGAGUAUAGCAUCAUAGAUGUGAAGUUUCUAGGUAGUGAUGCCUCAAGGUCAAGGUACGGAGACUGUGUUCCAAAAAUGAUGAGGUCAUAAGUCUAUUGUCUAACAAAUUGGCUAGUGACUAGAUUCACACAAUUGUCUCUGGUUAUGCAGGUAUGGAGACAUCAUUAUCAACAGCUGUGGCUUGUCACUGUUGGCAGGGAUUGAUUUUUGAAAAUAUGACAGAAGAGAAUGCUGGUUCAAGUGUAACUCAGUGGUUGAAAGUUACCCGAAUAUGGGGGUGUGUGCUAGUAUCAUAGGAUGAUAGGGAAGAUCAGAAUCAUCAAUGGGGUGUAGACAGCUGUAGCCUAGAAGAACAGCUGUAUAUGUGCUACAGAUGUAGAGCUAGAGAAGCUACCAAGAUUCAUUGAAAGAUGCCAGAAUAUCGUACGUGGAUCACAGAUAUUAAGAUAUUGAAGUAUUAACACCAUUGAAGUUUGAUUUUGCUUUGAUCAUAUUGAUACUUGAUUCUUCUCUUUUGAAAUAAAAAAGUAGUUUGAAACAUUUUUUUUAAUUUUAAAUGACCACAUUUUCCAAAUAAGAUUUUGGAGUUUUACAGAUAAUUAGGAUUAUAAAAAAAAAACAAAACAAUGGAUUCUUUAAGGUACUGAAUUUGUAAAGUGUAUGAAAUGGCAAGGCUGUGGGACUCUGGAAGUGCUAGCACAGAUAUGUUUGAUAUUCAACAUUUGGUAAAGUACUUGCCUAAAGUUAAAGUAUUUGAGCUCAAACUUCAUCAGAAAUGCAUAUUAGAUUGUACACACAAGGAACAACAGCACCCUGGAUGUAGAGACAGAAAAAAUAUGAUUACACUAUCUGAGGAACCAGCUAUAACCUCUCCUGGGCAUAUACCCAAAAGAUGCUCCAACAUACAACAAAUUCACAUGCUCCACUAUGUUCAUAACAACAUAUUAUUUAUAAUAGCCAGAACCUGGGAAGAACCCAGAUGCCUCAACAGAGGAAUGGAUACAGAAAAUGUGGUACAUCUACACAAUGGAAUAUUACUCAUCUAUCAAAAACAAUGACUUCAUGAAAUCCAUAGACAAAUGGAUGGAACUAGAAAAUAUCAUCCUGAUCGAGGUAACCCAAUCACAGAAAAACGCACAUGGUAUACAUUCAUUGAUUAGUGAAUUUUAGCCCAAAAGCUGGAAUUACCCAUGAUGCAAUUUAUAAACCACACGAAGCUCAAGAAGAAGGAUGUCCAAAAUGCAGAUGCUUCAGUCCUUCUCAAAAGGGGGAAUAAAAAGUUCCAUAGGAGGGGAUAUGGAGGCAAAGGUUAGAGCAGAGACUGAAGGAAUGACCAGUCCAAGCCUGCCCAACAUGUGGCCCAUAUAUAUACAGCCACCAAUACUAAAUAAGAUUGAUGAAGCUAAGAAGUGCAUGCUGACAGGAACUGGAUAUAGAUCUCUCCUGAGAGACACAACCAGAGCUCGCCAAAUACAGAGGCAAAUGCUAGCAGCAAACCACUGAACUGAGAACAGGACUCCCCUUGGAGGAAUUAGAGAAAGUAUUGAAAAAAAUCACCCUAAGCAUUUCUGAUUCGAUUCCAGGGGAUAGGUAAUAUAUGCUCUCUCCUACUGUAUGAUGGAGUAUGUAAUUUGCUUUGGAUUUUUUAGUGGUUACUUUGAAUGAAUUGACUUGACGUUCAGAAGACACUUUCAACAUUUAAACAAUAUUCGUUAUAUGAAAGAUAAGAGGGCACAUUAAAAUUGUAUAGUAUAUGAUAGUACUCUGAAUUGAUUGUGAGACUAUGAGAGACAAGAUGUAGAAUACAGUGGUUUGAAUGAGAUCCCCAAUAGUACACCCCGAUUUUCAAAUACCUGUCUCCGAGUUGAUAGCUGUUUGGGAAAGAUUAGGAAAUGCAGCAUUGCUGUAGAAAAAAACAUCUACCUUUCAAAUAUCUCGGGAUGUUUCAAAUAACCCUUUCUUUUCCCUAUUUGCAGUUUGAGAGAUAAGCUGCUACUCCAGCAACCUGCUGCCUGCUCUCAAGAUACAGAAAGAUGAGAAAUAAUAUUUUCCUACUACAAUAUUAUUUUAUUAAUAUAUUUUGUUGUUGUUACUAAAGGAUGCCAAAACAUAAUCCUGGCUGUAGUUAGAAACAAUACUGACUCUUUGCCUAUGCCUCUCAGGUGUUACAUUUAAAGGCAUGUGCCAAAUAGAUUGGACUUUCUCCACAAAAUUUAUUUUUGAAAGUAAUUAAUGAUCAAAGCCAAAUGGACAUUUAAAAAUGAAAUUAAAAACAUUCCUGGUAAAUUGAAUCACAUCUUUAAUCAUAUCAUCCUAGAGAUAGAAGCAAAAGGAUUACUAAAGUUUGAAGACAAGGCAGACUACAGCAUGAGACACUAACUCACAAAUUUCAAAUAUAAUAAAAAGUAUAUGAACAAAUGAAGAAAUUAUGUAAUGUGGAAGAAAAGUAGCAGUAGAGGACUGUAAUAAGCAGAAGCAAUGAAAAGUUCAAGAAACAUGAGUGAAAUGAUCAUCAUAUGUAAACUAGAAUUCUAUGCUAUGGAAAGGAGAGAUUGUAGAAAAAUUGAGCAUAUCCAAAUUAAACUUUUGUCAAGAAAAAUUGCAAAAACAUUAAGCACACAAUUCUUUAUAUUCCUACAUAGUGCACCCUGUAUCUUUUGGGUUAAUUUUAAGAUCUAUUAACUCCAUACUUCUACAACUCUUCUAACUGCCUAUGUUAAAUAUUCAUUGAAUUAGGCCUGUAUAAGUCCUCUUCAUUACACAGGUAUUGUAAGCAGCACACAUUACUUUUCAUAAGUUGUCGAAGUAACAUUAGCAAUGCUAGAAUUAGAAUCAAAUCACAGAUUAUGAAGGCUUGGUUUUCAUCUGUAGAACAUCAUAGCAUAGAUUACUGCACACAUCUCAUACAAGCUUUUAGUCUGUCAUCUUUGAGCACAAUUAAUUUAAUUAGUUAAUUGAGGUAGGAGAACCUCUCCUCCUGGGUAGGACCAGGUUGAGGAUCCUUAACACUGGCCUCUUCACUAAAAAAAUUGGCUUUCUGUGUCCCAGAAAGAACUCUGCAACCCAAAUCAAAGAAAUUAUAAUUUUACAUAUCCACAAUUACUCAUUACUUGUAUGAUUAGAAAACAAUUUAUUUAAAAGCAUAUGGAUUUUUUUAGGGUAUUUCCAGUGUCCUAAUCUUACUUUGCUCUGCAGUAUAUAGAUAGAUACAAUAAAUCAUAUAUCUGUUUUCUUGUUUAGGUAACCAUACAUAAUCCUUGACUUUUAUAAAAUCUGGAAGAUGAGAGAAAUAUAAUAUAACACCUGAAACCUUAACCUGCUUGGUGGCAGAUAGAGAUGGCAAGAAGUAUGUUAAGCCAACCCAUUCUAUACAGCAACUUCUUGGCAUGAAAGAGCUACUUAUACAACCAUAGGCAUUAAAAUAAUAAAUCAGUUUUUCUUAGUUAUUACUUAGAGCCAGGCAUGCUAUGACAUGUUGACAAAUACAAUGAAACAAGACUGUCGUUUCAUUGCAUUUUUUCUAAUAAAUAUCAAUAUUUGAAAGGGAUCUUUAAAUUUCAAAAUGGCAAGCAUAUUUUCAGCAAGCUUUAAAUUUCUCCAGCAUUGGCAGAAGACUCUGAGGGACUGAUUGGUCGUAGCACAGCCUUUUUCAGGGUGGUCAUCUCCUUCUUGCAGUAUUGCCUGAAUUGAUAUAUUACCAUACUUAUCUGCUCAGUCCUAUAUUCAUUGUUUGGCUGUGGGUGUCUAUUUCUCUCUGAAACAGCUACAGGGUAGAGAUACUCAGAAGAAAACGUGCUCCUCUAUGCAAAUAUUACAGAGUACCAUUGAUAUUGUUAGGGAUUAGUACUUCCAUCAUCAGAUGGGGCUCAAUUUGGUCUAGUUAUUGGUUGGCCCUUCCCUCUGCUCCAUUCCUGUGCCUACAUUUCUUGUACACAGGAUAAAUUUUGGAAUGAACUUUUAGAGCAUUAUUUGGUGACUCUAUUACUCCUCUGUGGUUACUGCCUGGCUACAGGAGGUGGCCUCUUCAGGUUCCAUAUCCCCAAUGUUGAGAGUCAUAACUAAGGUAAACUCCAUUGAUUCUUUGGAUACUACCUUAUCCCAAGGCUCUGCUCAUCCUGUAUAUAACCCACCCCCAGUUUGCCAACACAUCUCUUGCAUAUUUUCAUUAAUUUUCAUGGCCAUGUAGCCAUCUCUCCUGUUCCUCUCUCCUUCUAAGUGAGAUUCAAGCUACCUUGCUUGGGCCUUCUUUCAUUUUUACUAUCUUGGGUCUAUGGAGGGUAGUAUGGAUAGCCUCAAUUUUAGGUCUAAUAUCUCCUUAUAAGUCCUUAUAAGGACAUAUCCUGCAUGUCCUUUUGAGACUAGGUUACAUCACUCGUGAUGAUAUUCUCAAGUUGCAUCUAUUUGCGUGCAAAAUUCAUAAUGUUUCUGCUUAAGAAUUGCCAGGGUGGGGAGUUACCCAGAGCAUCCCCCACUCAUUCAGGGGACAAAGAGAAGGAGUUCGAGGAAGGGUUGUGGGAGGAAGUGACCAGGAGGGGAGCAUUGAGCCAGAUGCAACGUAAAUAUUUUUAAAAAACAAAUUAAGUAAUGGAAUCCGAUGCCCUCUUCUGGUGUGUCUGAAGACAGUUACAGUGUACUCGUAUACAUAAAAUAAAUAACUCUUAAAAAACAAAUUAAAAUGUAUUAGAAGGUUUUAUUGUGUAACACAAUUGAUUUAUUUGUGUCACUUUCAUAUGUAAUGUAUCUUAUCUUAUUCAUCCCAUUAUUCUGUUUUAUGACCUACAUACACUUCUGUUCCCUUUUUUCUAUCAACAUAGUCCUUUUCCCUUUUCUCAUUCCUCCUUCCUCAUUCUAUCCCCUUUUCCUUAUUUAUUCAUUUCUCCUAACUUCUUCCCCCUCCUUUCCUUUCAUUUAUUAUUUUCUUCAUCCACCAUCCUCUCAUUUGUUCUUUUACUUCAUUAUUUUAAUAACUUGCAACUGGUUUUCUAGAGUAUUUUCUUAUGCAGUGAUCAGUGGUAACUGCAUAGGCUUAUAACCAGUCAAAGUGCUGAGCACAGGGACUGUUGAAAUCUCAUAUGAACAUGAGGAUACUGUAUCACUCCUCUAAGACUAUCAUGAAGGAAAUAAUAAUUGGUAAAUGAUAAAAAAGUAAAGUGUGAUAAGUUUGAACAUCUUUCUAACAUAAUAUCACCAUUAUACCAUUUAUCUCACAGAAGGUGUCAUUACUGGCAAAAACCUGUGCAGGUUUAGACCUGUUAGCCUCUUGUCUAGGGGAGCCAAGAAGGGCUCAUAGUAGAACCUAGAUACAUUUAUGGCAGCUAGGGGAAGAGGUUCAAUAAGCCUCUAGGCAAUUAAUGUCAAGUAGAGAAACAAAAUUAGCCAUCACUCAAGUCUUACUCUGCAGCCUGCUCUUGCUCUUAUGUAGCCUGACUAACACUGAAUUUAUGAUCCUUCUGCUUUAUCCUAUUGAGUUUUAAAAUUAUCGAAGUGUUAGAUCAUAUCUAAUUGUAUUUUAGUUUUACCAAUUAAAAGUACUGUCAAAUACCAAAAAACUGUCUGAAUAAUAAUAUGUAAUAUGUGAAGAAAUGUUCAACACACAGACACAGACACACACACAAACAUGCAUGUGUGCAUAGCUACAACAAAAAUGUUCUCUUUGAUCUUAUUCCUAUUGUAGUAUAAGACUAGCAGAUGUAAAAAGAAAGUAACAUGCAACUUAUUAAAUGAUACAUUAAAAAGCAGUAGCUGUGACUUAAACAUGAAAUUGAUCUUUAAACAAAGAAUAAUUUAUCUCAGAAUACAAUAUUAACCCUACAUAUAUCAUCUUAGUGAUUGAUAAGAUUUCAAACAUUCUAACAGUAAUUUUCAUCUUGCUUAUUUCUAUAUUUAUUACUCAUACAUUAGUUUAUGUAGUGCAUUUGGUGUAGUACUACUCAUAUUCUGUUAAUUUUGGUCCCCAAAAUUGUUUUCAAAAGAAUCCCAUGUCUGAACUUGACAGAGGAACCCUGGUCCCAGUUGGUUCUGAUUAAUAAAUAAAUUUACAAAGAGCCAAUGAAUGGGAAAGGCAAACAGAGUCCUGACUUUUAGGAUGAAGGAGAUACAGGGACAGAGAGAAAGGAGGAGAAAGAAGGAGAUGCCCCAUGCUAGGAGAAAGAAAUUCUACAUGUCAAAGAUUGUACAGGACCAGAGAUCAUAGCCUUCAUGUUGGAGCCAGGAAAGCCACCUCAAAAGGGCUGCUGACUGGGUCCAAAGCAGCAAAGAUUUUAGUAAGUAAUAAUUUGAGAAUAUCAGAAGAAUGUGAAUUAGCCACAUGGAGGUUAGAAAGGGGCCAAGCCACUGAGCUGUUCUAGGCAUAUCAAUAUAUAAAGCUGUGUGUGUGUGUGUGUGUGUGUGUGUGUGUGUGUGUGUGUGUGUGUGUGUGAACCCAGAAUAUUGGGGUGGGUAGCAAGAAAUGUGCAGUUGCCACAAGUAUUUUUUAUUAGGUACUACGCCAAUUUAUAUGUUGUGAAUUCAUCUCAGAUUCUUAGGGACUGGCAUCACAACCAUCUUCUCUUAUAGUGUAUUAAAAACAUCAAUUUCUCUCUCUUUUUAAAAGCAUUUUGUUUUUUAUCUUUAAAUAUUAGAUUUGACAAGGUUUCAUUAUUGAAAUUCUUUGACAUGUUUCAUUAUUUUUUUCCUGGUUAACCCUCCAUAGGCCACCUAUCCCAUCCCCACUCCUCCCUGAUUCUAUGAGCAUGCUCUACCACCUACCUUCCCACUCUUGUCUCAUUACCCUAGCAUUCCCCUAUGCUAAGGCAUUAAGCCUUCACCUAACUAAGGACCUCCCCUCCCAUUAAUGCUAUAUAAGGCCAUCCUCUGCUACAUUUGCAGCUGGAGCCCUGGGUCCCUCCAUGUGUACUGUUUGGCUGGUAGUUUAGUCCUUGAGAGAUCUAGGAGGCCUAGUUGGCUGAUAGAGUGGUACUUUCUAUGGGGUUGUAAACCCUUUCAGCUCCUUCAAUCCCUCCUCGAAAUACUUCUUUGGUGUCCUCAUGCUCAUUCCAACAGUUUGGCAAAAGCAUCCACAUCUGUAUUUGGUCAACCUCUGUCAGAGCCUCUCUAAAGACAGCUAUAUCAGGCUCAAGUACAUUUACUAUACUUGGGAUUUUUAAUGGUUUUUCAUCAGCAAGCACCUCUUGGCAUCAGCGAUAGUCUGGGCUUGGUAGUUGCAUAUAGCAUGGAUCCCCAGAUAAAUGGCAUUUGUUUGAAAUUUAACUGGUUUACAGUUUACAAAUAAUCACAAAAUAUUUUUUAAAUUGUCCAUAGAAGUUUUAUCUGAGUACUUCGUGGCUUAUUGGUAAUAUAUUUAUGUCCAAAAAAUAAGUAAAAGAAUAGUGGAUGGAAAAUUGUUAAUUACUAGGGAGUCUUUGGCUGUUGAAAAUGGGGAAGGAUAAGAAACACACUCAGGGGAAAGCCUUGUACAGCAUCAACAG